AAUGCAGCAUCCAACUGCUGUCGGAGCGUAAUAAAAAGCUAGAGCCCUCUGCUCUCUGUCAGGGGGGUGUAACUUGCCCCCGGGGGAGGAGAGGAGGGAAGGCGGGUGCUUCAGUUUUGAUCCUCUGUCCACUGCCAUCUUCCUUGGUGCCUAGGAGAGCUGUUCCCUGUUUCAUUUUGGUAUGAUUUCUUUCUAGCAUGCCUGGGGCCUUGAGGGCCAACCCUGUGUUUCUCUGCUUACUGGAUCAUGGACUAGAAAGCAUCCCAGUGCGAAGGACUGCAGACUCCUGGAGCCUCAGACCGGUGGUGCGUACAGGGACCUGCUUAAAACCAAGCUGGAUUUCCGAGCAGUUCAGUGAUGCUUUAGGCUGUACAGCAGCGAGCCAGCCUCGAGGGCUGCCUUUCACCGCUGAGAGUGCGUCUAUUCUCUUGUUACACCCUCAGUUACUAUCAUUUUCCAUCGCAUCACUUUGAUUGCAUAAGGCAGGUGCUGUGCAUGAAGAAAAGCAAUGAGAGCCAGUUUGCUAAAAUGAAGUGCCUCUGUUACACCUGCUACCCGGGUAUUAAUGCAGUGGUAUCAGUGUGCUGUGUCACUCUUGCCACAGGCCUUUAUCUCGUGGAGCUGGAAAAAUGGGGAAGAUCUGAGUAGCUGGAUAGAGAAUGUCUUAGAUCUCUCUUCCUGUACGGGGGCAGGCGGUUGCUCACCGAGGCAUCGGAGAUUCGGGUAAGAUUGGAGAGAAAGCUGGGACUUCCUAGACAACCAGAGUCUGGGUCCUGAACUGAGUUGGAGUAGAGAAAUAACCAAGAGGAGCGAGACUAGACUGCUCACCUCAGCUGGUUUGCAACUGAAGACUGAAAAUACUGCAAUGAAGAUCCCCCCCUAGUGCAACAAAUCCUCCCUGUGCAGCAGAGGGAGGAUUGCUCCUCUUCGUGGUUCCUGUUGGAGCAAUACGCUGCUUCAUAACUUAUUCUCAGUUCUCUAUGAGACAGCCAACAUACAUCAGUCAGUGCAACACCGGGAUUAUUUGUAGUUUCCAAAAAUGCAAAAAAAAAAAAGAAAAAAAAAUGCAUUGGAAGGUCCCAGUUAAGUAAAAUAUAGACAAAUGCA